GCCCGGGGGCGCCCCCAGCGCGCGGACGGCGGGACCCUGCGGCCUCCUCCAGGUCUGGACGCAGGGAGGGGUGAGACUGUUCUGGCCAAAGAGACUGGAGAUCCAGUAUCAGCAAGCUACUUUCUUGCAUUUAGCAAUGAAUACUAUGGGAUUAUGGCUAAAAGAUGGUCAAGACUGCCUCAGCCAUUAGGAUCAGAAUUCUAAGUUCCAAAGAAGAGCAAACUCAAGAGGAUUUCCUCAGGCCUCUGACUAUAGAUGCUGCCUGGGGAGAACAGGUGCUACACUCAAAACAUUCUCAUUUUAUUUAUAUCCUCCCUGAACUAGUACCCAACUCCAUAACCCCAGACUCAAAUAACAGAAAUAAAAGCCAUCUCACUGAUUAUAAGCUCUCUAGUUAUUACAAAAAUAAAUAAGCAUCAAUCAACCAACAGGCAUCAGAAUGAGAAAAUCACUGAUUUGAGACAUUCAGGCUGCAGGAAAAGAACACUUUUUGUUAAUAUGUAACUAUAUCUUCAGUAGUACAGAAAAAUGAGAAGAACGAGAGUUCUUACCUGGAUUUGCGGCUCACUUAAAGUAGAGCACCUGAGAUGCUGGGAAAUCAUAAAGAUAAAUAACCAAUCUAACAAAUUCCUGCCAUGAGACCAAAGUG
rnacentral:lncRNA from 1 species